GAUGAACGCUGGCGGCGUGCCUAAUACAUGCAAGUCGAGCGAACGGACGAGAAGCUUGCUUCUCUGAUGUUAGCGGCGGACGGGUGAGUAACACGUGGAUAACCUACCUAUAAGACUGGGAUAACUUCGGGAAACCGGAGCUAAUACCGGAUGAUAUUUUGAACCGCAUGGUUCAAAAGUGAAAGACGGUCUUGCUGUCACUUAUAGAUGGAUCCGCGCUGCAUUAGCUAGUUGGUAAGGUAACGGCUUACCAAGGCAACGAUGCAUAGCCGACCUGAGAGGGUGAUCGGCCACACUGGAACUGAGACACGGUCCAGACUCCUACGGGAGGCAGCAGUAGGGAAUCUGCCGCAAUGGGCGAAAGCCUGACGGAGCAACGCCGCGUGAGUGAUGAAGGUCUUCGGAUCGUAAAACUCUGUUAUUAGGGAAGAACAUAUGUGUAAGUAACUGUGCACAUCUUGACGGUACCUAAUCAGAAAGCCACGGCUAACUACGUG
rnacentral:rRNA from 1 species